AUGCUCACUUUGGCAGCACACAUACUAAAAUUGAAACAAUAUAGAGAAGAUUAGCAUGGUCCCUGCCCAAGGAUGAUAUACAAAUUCAUGAAGCAUUUCAUAUUUUA